rnacentral:rRNA from 1 species
UACGGGGGGGGCAAGCGUUGUUCGGAAUUACUGGGCGUAAAGGGCUCGUAGGUGGCCAACUAAGUCAGACGUGAAAUCCCCAGGCUCAACUUGGGAACUGCGUCUGAUACUGGAUGGCUUGAAUUCGGGAGAGGGAUGCAGAAUUCCAGGUGUAGCGGUGAAAUGCGUAGAUAUCUGGAGGAAUACCGGUGGCGAAGGCGGCAUCCUGGACCGAGAUUGACGCUGAGGCGCGAAAGCGUGGGGAGCGAACAGG